UCUCAAGCGUGAGGUAAGAGCAUUUGGUGGAUGCCUUGGCAUGUACAGGCGAAGAAGGACGUGGCACGCUGCGAUAAGCGUUGGGGAGCUGUGAGCAAGCUUUGAUCCAACGAUUUCCGAAUGGGGAAACCCACCUUCACCAUUUCUCUCGUUGUUCGAGCAAUCGGGCAGUGAGUGAGGUGGAUAAGGUAUCACCGAGUUGAAUACAUAGACUUGGUGAAGCGAACCCGGGGAACUGAAACAUCUAAGUACCCGGAGGAAAAGACAUCAACCGAGAUUCCGUUAGUAGUGGCGAGCGAACGCGGACCAGGCCAGUGCUUGCAUUUCAGUUAGCAGAACACUUUGGAAAGAGUGGCCAUAGCGGGUGACAGCCCCGUAUGCGAAAACGAUGAUGCAAGACUCGAGUAGGGCGGGACACGUGAAAUCCUGUCUGAACAUGGGGGGACCACCCUCCAAGCCUAAAUACUCGUACAUGACCGAUAGCGAACACAGUACCGUGAGGGAAAGGUGAAAAGCACCCCGAUGAGGGGAGUGAAACAGUACCUGAAACCGAAUGCUUACAAGCAGUAGGAGCCUCUUUAGGGGGUGACUGCGUACCUCUUGCAU
rnacentral:ncRNA from 1 species